UACGAAGGGGGCUAGCGUUGCUCGGAAUCACUGGGCGUAAAGGGUGCGUAGGCGGGUCUUUAAGUCAGGGGUGAAAUCCUGGAGCUCAACUCCAGAACUGCCUUUGAUACUGAGGAUCUUGAGUUCGGGAGAGGUGAGUGGAACUGCGAGUGUAGAGGUGAAAUUCGUAUAUAUUCGCAAGAACACCAGUGGCGAAGGCGGCUCACUGGCCCGAUACUGACGCUGAGGCACGAAAGCGUGGGGAGCAAACAGG
rnacentral:rRNA from 1 species